rnacentral:rRNA from 1 species
AGGACGAACGCUGGCGGCGUGCUUAACACAUGCAAGUCGAGCGGAAAGGCCCUUCGGGGUACUCGAGCGGCGAACGGGUGAGUAACACGUGAGCAACCUGCCCUUGGCUCUGGGAUAGCCUCCGGAAACGGGGAUUAAUACCGGACAUUCACUGAUCCCUGCAUGGGGGGAUGGUGGAAAGUUUUUCGGCCAGGGAGGGGCUCGCGGCCUAUCAGCUUGUUGGCGGGGUAACGGCCCACCAAGGCGACGACGGGUA